UUUAACUCAACAGUGGUUUCAAACACUGUUAACCCAAAAGUGGUUUCAAAACACUGUUUUAACAACACUGUUUUAACCCAACAGUGGUUUCAAACAAUGUUUUAACCCAAACUUCCAUCCCCUUUAUCAAAGUUAGAGGCUUGGUAAUUAUCAAAGUUAAUGGAGGGUGCCUUAUAUAACUUACACUAUUUGUCAGUUAACUUUACCUCAAAUGAUGUAGGUAUACAAUUUGUGGGGUGGUUUAUGUGUUUGGUUAAAUGGUUGGUUUGGCUCUAACCAUGCAUCAUUUCCAAUUCAUUUUUACAACAAAUGAUGUUUUUGCAAGAGCUUCUACCUCAACUUAACCAACAGCAAUCCACUUUGUAGGUGGGUCUUAUCCAGACAGGUGUUGCUACAAGUACAAACAUAUUUCUGUUAACUUUAUCACAGUCACAGUUAUAUGUAAUAGUGUUUCGUGCUUAUAAUCUGUCACACUCCCAAAAUACCACAUGCGGAAUCCCCCGCGAAGCGUGUGAUGUACCAGGAUCUAGUCAGUAAUCACAUUGAACUCAUAACAAGAUUCCAAGUAAAAAAGCUAUCAUUCAUUUCAAAUAAGUGUUACAAAUCAUAAUUUAUAAAUCGUUAUGUUCAGCGGAAGCAUAAUACAAAGUUUAACCAAAUCCCAAGUGUACGAAACCGGCAAGUCCCGUUUCAAGUUUCCAUGUAUCUCGACCCAUGACCACUCCAGCAUCUCAGAUAGCAAGUUCCACAUCCACACAUACCUACAACCUGCGAGCAUGCACACACGUGUAUCAGACAACGCUGGGAUACCCAACGAAUGUCCCAACCACCAGGACGCAUGCUCAAGAGGAAUGAACACACCUUUGGUUUGCUCGGUAAGAUUAGUUACUUGUUUAACAGUUGCUCAAACACGCCCUAACAUGGGUACCGGUAACAAUCACUUUUGAAUGCACAUACACUAGAUAUUUCACGCAUGAUUAAUUCAUAUACUCCCUAAUCACAUACCACGUAGUCUAAUGUAUAAGUAACACACAUACUAUCAUACGUAUUGUAACAGUUGACCAUACAAUGUAAUUCGGCAACAUACAUCAAAAUAUCACAUAGUAGGUG